UUGAUUUUAGCUCAGUUGGUAGAGCGGAGGACUAAUCUGAGCUGAAAUCCUUAGGUCGCUGGUUCAAAUCCGACAGGUUUGA
rnacentral:tRNA from 1 species